GCCCUUGUAGCUCAGGGGUUAGAGUAUGGCCUUCGUAAGGUUAGGGUCCAUGGUUCAAAUCCAUGCUGGGGCA